rnacentral:rRNA from 1 species
CGGAUGAACGCUAGCGACAGGCCUAACACAUGCAAGUCGAGGGGCAGCACGGUGUAGCAAUACACGGGUGGCGACCGGCGCACGGGUGAGUAACGCGUAUGCAACCUGCCUACUACAAGGGGAUAACCCGUUGAAAGACGGACUAAUACCCUAUAACACAGGGAAUCCGCAUGGAUAUAUUUGUUAAAGAUUUAUCGGUAGUAGAUGGGCAUGCGUAUGAUUAGCUAGUUGGUGAGGUAACGGCUCACCAAGGCGACGAUCAUUAGGGGUUCUGAGAGGAAGGUCCCCCACACUGGUACUGAGACACGGACCAGACUCCUACGGGAGGCAGCAGUGAGGAAUAUUGGUCAAUGGUCGCGAGACUGAACCAGCCAAGUCGCGUGAAGGAAGACGGUCCUACGGAUUGUAAACUUCUUUUAUACAGGAAUAAAGUGAGGUACGUGUACCUUUUUGUAUGUACUGUACGAAUAAGCAUCGGCUAACUCCGUG